CUCUCGGCAGCCAUUCCUUUAUUAGAAGAUGAUCCUCAUGUACUUUCCACCAUCAAGUCUCUUCUCUAGAUUCAACAUGCUUCAUUCAUUCAAGAAUUCUUUGUAUCAUGGUUCUCAAAUUCCUUUGCCAACUUUGGUGAUUUGCUAUUUACCAACUAUCUUCUGAAAAUGUGAUAAAAAAUAUUCCAAACAUAUUUUCUGACCAGUUUAGACAUUAGUGGGGCUUAGCACCCUUGUUUGGCAUAUUUUUCAUUUAUGAAUGCAGACUAAGUGUGUAUUCAAUUUUUUGGAUGCCUCCUUACAUGGUUGGCUCACACUGAGCUUACAGGAAAUCAUGGUUCCCAGGUUGGUAGUGACCACGCUUGCUGCCCUUUAGCCACAUCUUUGCCAUCUGUACACAUUCACUUACUUUUUUUACUCAAAUACAGGUUCUUUUCACUAUGAAGUUUCAUCCUGUUAGAGCAAACACAUUGUUAUAUCUGGUUGAGAUGGUUUGGGAAUCUUUCUUGUCAUCAAACACAAUAAAUAUCUCUCCUAGCUUCAUCUGCUGAUCUGCCAUUACCACCAUGUCAUCUAUAUCCUUGGGCAACUUAGAUACCUGUUGAACAGGAUGAGAUUUCAAGAGUGACUUCUUUAUGAGGAAAACAAACCAUCAAUGAAAAUAACCUAAAGACCCUUCUCCCUCCAUUCUGCUCCCUGACCAGUUCCAGCCUGAGUACCGAGCAUACAUAUGAAUCAAUGUUGACUUGAUGAUAAAAUAAUCUAACAAUUAAAGACCAGUGCAACUAUUUUACUUUGGCAACCCAGUUUGUGGUAAAUUAUACCUUAACCAGUUUUUAUCAGAUUUUUUUUCUUUUUCUUUUUUCUUUUUUUUUCUUUUUUCUUUUUUCUUUUUUUUUUUUGUACAGAUUAGGUCUCCUUGAAAACUGUUGGUGAAUUUGCCAAGAUUUCCAAUGAAAUGGUUGGUCCCAAUGAUUCCUAAGUUACUUCCAGAAUGCUCCCGGCAUCAAUUGAUGUGGAAGCUGCAUUGCACCAGAGGAAGAAAUUGUCUAUGUCGAUGCCAAAAGGAGGUAUCCUUCAGGCCUGGCGCAAGGGAGAACAGUUUACAGGUGCUCUGGGAGGCACAGCAGCUCCAGGCAGAUCACUCUGUGACUACGCAGACUUCUGAGAUGCCUGAGACUUUCCCCUUCGCAGUUUAAACGCCUGAGGAGGUUGCUCAGGUGCCAAGCGGGAAGUUUAGAGUCAAGAGAAAUCACUGCAGAUGGGGGGAAAAAAAAGAAAAAGAAAAAAAAAACAUCCUCUGUGUGGAAGACUUUUAGAAAACCAGCACCAAAAUAAUACCUCUCCUGCUGACUCGUGGAGAGGCUGGAAACUAGAUCAAGCUUCAGUCAAACACUAAAUUUUUACCUAGUUUGGUGUUGUUUUUCUCAUGCCACAGAAUUCCUAAGGAUUUGCCAAGUUUGCCUAUGAAAUGAUAUGUCUGCUACUGCCUUUUACUGGGGGCAAAUGUGAUUUAGAGAAUUUUUUGGUAAUAUCUUUCAUGUUCAUUUUUUUUCUUAGUGCCAUCUAGAAUGUGUUGCAUGAUUUUUAGAUCUAGGGUUGAGUUAUGGUUAGUGGUACACUUUUAUUCCCAUGGGAUGUUCAAGGUCGCCCUUCACAUCCACAUUUAAGGGUAUGAAUCCAAGGUAAGAAGGAUUCCUCAGAGCAAGAAAAUUGGCCCUGUAAGAUAGGGGGUGGGAGCUUAUGGGAGAGAACUAAAGAGAGUGCAAAUAAAAACCAGAUUGGGACAACA
rnacentral:lncRNA from 12 species